ACGUUAUUUUAUACUUUAACUUUGAUUUUAUUUUUAUGUUUUUUAAAUAUUGGUGUUUUUGAAUGUGUUGUUUAAAUAACAUAAAAAAUAAAAUAUAUAUUGACAUGUAUUAAACAAAGAUAUAUAUUAUUUUAUGUUGUAUAAAUAAAUUGGCAAAAUAGAGAUGGAAGAUAAAAAUAUGGUCAAAGUAAUAAGAGUCUAUGGUGAAUGCCUAGGAA
rnacentral:misc_RNA from 1 species